rnacentral:piRNA from 1 species
UAAAGUGCUUCAUGCAGCGACUGUGGU